UUUUUUCAUACAAAUCUUUUAGCAUUUGUAGUUCUUUUUCUAAUUCAGCAAUCCUACUAUUUUUAGUUUCUUCUAUUUUUCGUAUUUCUUCUGUGGUUUGUUGUUUUUUAUUUUAUCUAUUUCUUUUUUUCUGUCUAUCUCUUCGUUUUCUCUUUCUAUUCUUACCAUGGCUGCCAACUUAUCUUCUAAUUUUAAUUCUUCUUUUUCUAAUAUUAAAUAUAAAUGUUCACCUAUUUUCUUAUA
rnacentral:lncRNA from 1 species